AACGCAUAUUGCACUCUCUGGUAAUCCGGGGAGUAUGCCUGUUUGAGGGUCAGUAAAUAAUAAUUAUCAUAAUCUUUUGAUUGUGGAAUUGGGCCUUUAUUUCAUUUUAAUGAUUUAUGGCCUUAAAUUUAUGUUACCGCUUGUUUAAUAUGAAAUUCGACCGAAUGGAGCAAUUAAACAUUCUCUCGUUAGGCGGAUUCAUCAAGCAAUUACGAUUUUUUGGCCGUCGAAGCACUUUUUUUUUUAGAAGUGCUUGGUCGAGAUUGUAAGAUACAUUUUUAACAAUGACCUCAAAUCAGGCAAGAAUACCCGCUGAACUUAA
rnacentral:misc_RNA from 1 species